GCUUAAUUUUUUUUUGACAACCAUGGGUGUCCGGGCCAGCUUGCUCACACCUCGACUAAUCCCAUGGGGCCCUGAAGUUAACGACCAAGUAAACCUCCAAUGGCCCUAAGGGGACUCGAACUAGUGACCACUGGGGAGCAAACCCAAGGCCGGACCAGCUGAGCUACCCCUCAUGGUUCUAAAGGAAGAGUAUACUCCACUUAUUAU